UUUAUUAUUCUUAAUCACCUUAAUCUCAAACUUUCCAUAUUUCUUUAACACUCUUCUCCAAGUAAUUUGCUUAACUCUUUUUACCAUGAUUCUUCCUACAUUUUCUUACCAUAAUUCAUGCAUGAGCUAGCCUAUAAAUACCCAUGGAUUCAUGGCUAACACUCACACCAAAAUUCUCUAAUUCUCACUUAAUCUCUCUCUUUAAUUUUCUCAUCUUCUCUUUUUCUUUUCUUUUCUUUUCUUCUUGCGCCACCACCACCAAUCACCACGACCACCACCUCCACGCCGGCUGCCACCCUCCCUGACGCCAGCCGCCACCUCCAUCCACCUGCCGGAAGGCUGCCCCACCUUGCCGCCACUUUCUUCUCUUUCUUUUUCUUGGGUGUGUUUGAUCCAAGUGCUUGAAGUUUCUUUGUGUUUGCUAAGCAAGUAUCAAAGUGUUGACUAAUUUCAGGUGGAGUCAAGAAUUGAGCAUAUGGGAGUCCUGGGAAUAUUCUUGACCUAGAUUAGGAAUGUUGGUCUUUGUCUAAUUAUGAGUACUCAUGACAAUGGUCGCUCGCCUGUUUCUUGGAUGACUAAGAAACAACCUACCAAAUCUCAUUCUUCGGCUGAAGUCGAAUACCGUUCUAUGGCAGUUGCUACUUGUGAGUUGAAAUGGUUGAAGGCGUUGUUAUUUUCUCUUGGAGUUGGUCAUUCGAAAUCUAUGCAGUUGUUUUGUGAUAGUCAGUCGGCCUUGCAUAUUGCUAAGACUCCGAUGUUUCAUGAUCGUACGAAACAUAUUGAGGUAGAUUAUCAUUUUGUUCGUAUGAGUUGUUGAAGGGUAAUAUUUCUACCUCAUAUGUUCCGAUGAAUAAUCAGUUGGCAGAUUUUCUUACGAAGACUCUUGGACAACAACAGUUUGGGUUUUUGUUUCGUAAGUUGGGCAUUCGUGAUUUGCAUGCUCCAAUUUGAAGGGUAGUAUUAGAAGUCGGUUAGGUUUAUAUAUGUUAAUAUUGUAUAUUUGUCAAGUUUAUCUUGUUAGGAGCUUUGGCAAGUUAGGUCUCUUGUAUUGUGUAUAUAUAUCUGUCGUAAUUAUCAAUGCAAGACUAAUCCGUUUUCUCCAAUAUCUCUCGAGUUUAACAGAAUAUUACUCUUUUUGAAGGGUAAUAUUUUGAUCGUACGAAACAUAUUGAGGUAGAUUAUCAUUUUGUUCGUAUGAGUUGUUGAAGGGUAAUAUUUCUACCUCAUAUGUUCCGAUGAAUAAUCAGUUGGCAGAUUUUCUUACGAAGACUCUUGGACAACAACAGUUUGGGUUUUUGUUUCGCAAGUUGGGCAUUCGUGAUUUGCAUGCUCCAAUUUGAAGGGUAGUAUUAGAAGUCGGUUAGGUUUAUAUAUGUUAAUAUUGUAUAUUUGUCAAGUUUAUCUUGUUAGGAGUUUUGGCAAGUUAGGUCUCUUGUAUUGUGUAUAUAUAUCUAUCGUAAUUAUCAAUGCAAGACUAAUCCG